rnacentral:snoRNA from 1 species
AUCCUUCUGGUUCUUACACAUGAUGACUGGCAAUGUCAUGCGUUUGCGUGAACUGUGCAUCUGUCCUUGUUACGACUUAGCACAUUACCUGUCUGAU